rnacentral:lncRNA from 1 species
UCUAACAGGCUAAUAACAUUUAUUUAACCAAUUCAUUAAAAGUCAAUUCAAAUAUACAUAAUAAUUACAUACAUCAAGCUUACAUGCAAAAAUGCAAUUCAAAAGGAAAGCAAUAAAAAUUUGAAAUUACAUAUAAAAAUAAAAGUUAGAAGGGAGCAAUAAGAAGAGGAACAACAAUAAUAAGAAGAGCAAUUCAUUAUUUAAACUAUUUUAAUAGUUUUGAAAGUUAUAAAGGUUCUAAAACAAGGUUAUCACCAACUUUUUAACAUCUGAAUCAUUCUCCACCCCUCCAUUAACAUCAUCCCUAAGCUUAAGAAAUGGAGUCAGCUGUCUUCUUUGGAUAGUAGUAGCAUGAAAAGUCUUGGUAUUCUUUUUUUAUCUCUAGCCUGAAGCCAUUUAAUUCUAGACUUUUGAAUAUCCUACUUUACCUCGAGGUUGCUCCAUUUUAAUAAAAUCUCCAAGCAGGCCCAGUGACUUCCUUAGCAUUCUUUUGAUUCAUCUCACCAGGAGUCAAGUUAUGAACUUCAACCUAAAACUGACAGUAUAGAGGAGUGUUAGAUGGCCAUUCCACAAGAAUCAUGAAAGAAUUUGAUAUAAGCCAUGGAGUACCAUCUAGGAUCCAUUGCUUGUCCUAUGUAGAGUGAAACUGAAAAAGAAAAUAAUUAUUUUUUUUUUUCAUGGAUUAAAGAUUCUCUUAACAGCUUCCAGAAUUUGGAUAAAGUUCCUUAACUGUCAUGACUGAUAGAUUCUUGAAACUCAACAUCUUCUCAUGCAGUCUCGUACCCAUGUCUGGCUCAAAGUGAAGCUCUAAGACUUUCUCUUCAUGCUGCAACCAUUUAGUUUUUGAAUGAUGUCGUCCAACAUGCCAUCCUCUAGUCGAUUACUAUCCUCCUUCACUAAAACUCUGAGAUCUUCCAGCUACCCACCUAGAAUAAAUGCCACUAUCUAAAAACCUGACCAAAGAAAAACAGCUAGAGAAGACCAGACAUUAAUAUAACAAACCUACCCAUUUUUCCUUGCAUCUAAUCAACCUCUAAUUUGAGAGCAAG